rnacentral:lncRNA from 1 species
AAAAUUUAGAUUCAGUUUGGUAUUUGAUCAGUUUACACACAAAUUCCAUUUGGUUCCAAUCAUAGAAUUUGGCUCAGAUUCGGUUCUAUCUGCGACUUCGAUUCUGUAAAUUGAUGCAGAAAUGCUUUUGAAAGGUAAAAACUGUAAACAGCUUCUGAAAAUCCUUUUUGUUUGUGAAGAACAUUUUUCUAGCGGAGUUCAUUUCCUAUAUUCAUAUGACAACCAUAAAUAAAUGGGAUAAUCUUUUAAUAAUGUCACUUUUUUAGUAGCCACGACGAUGGUAAAGCAUCUGAAGAUCAUUGCAAUGGUUGCAGGUCCAAGGAACCAGAUAAGGGUCUAAACAAUAAGUAUGGAUCCGCCGGAAGUUGCAGAUGUGACAUCUUAUGAGAAGAUCAACUGGUUCACUGAGGGAGCAUCUACCACACGCUGAAGCUCGAGUCUGCAUCCACACC